GACGAACGCUGGCGGCGUGCUUAACACAUGCAAGUCGAACGGUGAAGCAGGAGCUUGCUCCUGUGGAUCAGUGGCGAACGGGUGAGUAACACGUGAGCAAUCUGCCCUGGACUCUGGGAUAAGCGUUGGAAACGAGGUCUAAUACCGGAUACGAGGCGUGGGGGCAUCCCCAACGCCUGGAAAGAAUUUCGGUCCAGGAUGAGCUCGCGGCCUAUCAGGUAGUUGGUGAGGUAACGGCUCACCAAGCCUACGACGGGUAGCCGGCCUGAGAGGGUGACCGGCCACACUGGGACUGAGACACGGCCCAGACUCCUACGGGAGGCAGCAGUGGGGAAUUUUGGACAACGGGCGCAAGCCUGAUCCAGCAAUGCCGCGUGAGUGAAGAAGGCCUUCGGGUUGUAAAGCUCUUUUGUCAGGGAAGAAACGGCUGGGGCUAAUAUCCCCGGCUAAUGACGGUACCUGAAGAAUAAGCACCGGCUAACUUCG
rnacentral:rRNA from 1 species